CUUACAGAUGGACCCGCGGCGCAUUAGCUAGUUGGUGGGGUAAUGGCUCACCAAGGCGACGAUGCGUAGCCGACCUGAGAGGGUGAUCGGCCACACUGGGACUGAGACACGGCCCAGACUCCUACGGGAGGCAGCAGUAGGGAAUCUUCCGCAAUGGACGAAAGUCUGACGGAGCAACGCCGCGUGAGUGAUGAAGGUUUUCGGAUCGUAAAGCUCUGUUGUUAGGGAAGAACAAGUGCGAGAGUAACUGCUCGCACCUUGACGGUACCUAACCAGAAAGCCACGGCUAACUACGUGCCAGCAGCCGCGGUAAUACGUAGGUGGCAAGCGUUGUCCGGAAUUAUUGGGCGUAAAGGGCUCGCAGGCGGUUUCUUAAGUCUGAUGUGAAAGCCCCCGGCUCAACCGGGGAGGGUCAUUGGAAACUGGGAAACUUGAGUGCAGAAGAGGAGAGUGGAAUUCCACGUGUAGCGGUGAAAUGCGUAGAGAUGUGGAGGAACACCAGUGGCGAAGGCGACUCUCUGGUCUGUAACUGACGCUGAGGAGCGAAAGCGUGGGGAGCGAACAGGAUUAGAUACCCUGGUAGUCCACGCCGUAAACGAUGAGUGCUAAGUGUUAGGGGGUUUCCGCCCCUUAG
rnacentral:rRNA from 2 species